UAAGAGCUUGCUCUUAUGGGUGGCGAGUGGCGGACGGGUGAGGAAUACAUCGGAAUCUACUUUUUCGUGGGGGAUAACGUAGGGAAACUUACGCUAAUACCGCAUACGACCUACGGGUGAAAGCAGGGGAUCUUCGGACCUUGCGCGAUUGAAUGAGCCGAUGUCGGAUUAGCUAGUUGGCGGGGUAAAGGCCCACCAAGGCGACGAUCCGUAGCUGGUCUGAGAGGAUGAUCAGCCACACUGGAACUGAGACACGGUCCAGACUCCUACGGGAGGCAGCAGUGGGGAAUAUUGGACAAUGGGCGCAAGCCUGAUCCAGCCAUACCGCGUGGGUGAAGAAGGCCUUCGGGUUGUAAAGCCCUUUUGUUGGGAAAGAAAUCCAGCCGGCUAAUACCUGGUUGGGAUGACGGUACCCAAAGAAUAAGCACCGGCUAACUUCGUGCCAGCAGCCGCGGUAAUACGAAGGGUGCAAGCGUUACUCGGAAUUACUGGGCGUAAAGCGUGCGUAGGUGGUUGUUUAAGUCUGUUGUGAAAGCCCUGGGCUCAACCUGGGAACUGCAGUGGAAACUGGACAACUAGAGUGUGGUAGAGGGUAGCGGAAUUCCCGGUGUAGCAGUGAAAUGCGUAGAGAUCGGG
rnacentral:rRNA from 1 species